GGUUGGGGGAAUUGAUUAUUCUCUUCAAGAGAUACGGCUUUUGGGGUGGAAAGCU
rnacentral:ncRNA from 12 species